GUGUGUACCGAUACGUAGGUGUACGCGUGUGCGUACGUAUAUGUGAAAAAACAUAGGAGGGGAAGCCGAAGGGCGACGAAUCGAGACAAAUUCGGGCGAAGGGCAUCGUCCGCGUGCGGAGUCCCGCGGCGUGGCGCGUCUUUUUUUCUUACCCCUUCCAGGUCCGGUCCGCCACCUUCCGUCCGUAUACCCCGUAAAUUACGCAACGCGCAGAAGCUGCAGUUUGAUUAUUCGUCGCGGAAUCGGCGCGCGGAAUGUAGGCCGGCCGUUCUCUCCCAGCGCGCGUAUACCGUACACUGGCCAUGGAUUUUCGAGGAAAUUAUCGCCUGGGCCAGUGCACACGGUUAGAACUCUCGACCGAAACUCUCGAGUCUGGAAAUUGCAAAACAGCAAGCGGAUCUCCAGGGUCGGAGAAAUCCGAAUUCCACGAACGAUCGUGAGCUAAGAGGAAAAAGCCUUGGACGCGACACGGAUACACCGAAGCGAGAGAUAAGUUUCUUUUUCCUCGUUGGAAGUGGAUCGAAGUCGAUCGAACGUUCGCUUGGUUCGGACUCGAUGAAACGGACCGAAAGCGAGAGUGUCGUCGUCGAAGGCACGCUUUAGCCGUAUAUAUACGUAGUAGCAUGCAUCUGUCGUCUAUUAUUGCGCAGCAAAGUGCGCUCGAGUUAACGCGAGUCCACUCGAUUUGGCCGAGGCGAUGAUCGUACGCCUUCUAGGCGGGUUAUCGAUUAUCGAUGCCUCGACGGCGUAUGACGUUUCCUCCGUUAUUAAUAUCGUCCGACGGAAAAGAGGAUCGCUAGAGACAGAGAGGAACAGAGAAACGGGAUGCUGCGACGAGCAAGGAAAUCGGUAAGCACGAGAAUGAUGCUGCUCGAUAUAUAAUUUUACCGAGCAAACUCCGUAUCGGCGUUUCCGAGACGAAACGGCACCGUUAUUUCGCCUGUGAUUAUUUCUGUCGCGAAUAUGAACCAGAAGGGACCGCGGCAUCUUCGGGGAAUCGUCGAUGCAUCGAGACGCGCGAAAUAGUUUGCGAAGUUUUAAUAUCCGUUGAAAUACGUCGAUACAUCGCGAGAGUCGAGAUGCAGUCCAUCGAGGACAGGAUCAUUUUUGUGAAUCCAAUGGGGCGGGUGAGACAAGAAA